GAUGAACGCUGGCGGCGUGCUUAACACAUGCAAGUCGAACGCACCUUCGGGUGAGUGGCGGACGGGUGAGUAACGCGUGAGAAUCUGCCCUUAGGAGGGGGAUAACGGCUGGAAACGGCCGCUAAUACCCCAUAUGCCGAGAGGUGAAACGAGAAAUCGCCUGAGGAUGAGCUCGCGUCUGAUUAGCUAGUUGGUGAGGUAAGAGCUUACCAAGGCAGUGAUCAGUAGCUGGUCUGAGAGGAUGAUCAGCCACACUGGGACUGAGACACGGCCCAG
rnacentral:rRNA from 1 species